CCUACGGGGGGCAGCAGUGGGGAAUAUUGGACAAUGGGCGAAAGCCUGAUCCAGCCAUGCCGCGUGUGUGAAGAAGGCCUUCGGGUUGUAAAGCACUUUCAGUGGGGAAGAAAGCCUUGGGGCUAAUACCCUCGAGGAAGGACAUCACCCACAGAAGAAGCACCGGCUAACUCCGUGCCAGCAGCCGCAGUAAUACGGAGGGUGCGAGCGUUAAUCGGAAUUACUGGGCGUAAAGCGCGCGUAGGCGGUCUGAUAAGCCGGUUGUGAAAGCCCCGGGCUCAACCUGGGAACGGCAUCCGGAACUGUCAGGCUAGAGUGCAGGAGAGGAAGGUAGAAUUCCCGGUGUAGCGGUGAAAUGCGUAGAGAUCGGGAGGAAUACCAGUGGCGAAGGCGGCCUUCUGGACUGACACUGACGCUGAGGUGCGAAAGCGUGGGUAGCAAACAGGAUUAGAUACCCCUGUAGUC
rnacentral:rRNA from 1 species